UUCUCCACCAAGAAAUCUAAUUAAGUUCUAAAGGAAGGUUGAAAUGAAACGUGAGAGAAACACAAUUCUUCAAUAAGAUUAUUCAUGGAUCAAGGUACAUAUGUUAUUUUUAAACUAAAUUUAAUUUGUAAAAUCAUCUAGUUCAAAGAUCUUAACCCUUAUUGUUUUAUACCAUAUUAGAGUUUUAAUGUAAAGUAAUUAUGAAACAAAAGUUUACACUAACAAGGUGAAUGUCGAUUUAGAAAAAUUAAAAAAAAAAAAAGAACAAAACCAAUUAGUUGACUUUUAUUCUUUAACUAUGGAUGUUGGAUUGAAUAUAGUAAAUUAACCAUAGUUAGUUCGAUAAUUGUUUAAUCGAAAAUCGACUUCGGUCGACCAAGGAUAUAUAUAUAUAUAGUAAGGGGUGGAGGUUGUAUGUAUUUUGAUUGGUUUUGGUCAUAUGGUUUAUAGAGAAACGUAGGGGCCCAUGGGGGAGUGAUGUAAGAAUCCACAUUUCAUUAUUAAUAUAUAAAAGGACGGCACCUUAAUUCUAUUUAUAAACUAUCCUCCAAUGUAUUAUUUAUAUUUUAUAACACGUGCUAAAUUCUUUCUUUUCAUAAUUUUUUUUAAUUGCAAAAAAGUAUGUGUGUUUCUUUUCCAUUUAAUGUGAGGUGGGUAUCAUGCCACGUGUCCAACUUAAUAUAUAUAAGCUGAUCUACACCCUAUAAACCAACCAAAUGCACAUAUCAACUCUUCACUCUUAUAUAGUUUUUAUUUUUCUUUUACAUAAAUGCAAUCACUUUUAUUAUAUAUCUAAACCAUAAGUCUCAUGAAAUUACAUUUUAAAGUAGGAGAAUGUAAGAUUAUUUUUUUUUUUCUUUAAGCACAUGUAUCUCAGAAGAGUUUAAUAUCUUAUCAACAUCGAUCAUUUGCGUACUAAAAGCCACUCAAAUAAACACGGCCUAUAUGUUCCUCUAUUUAUGUCCAACCACUGGUUUUAAUUUCAUUUCUGUGGCAAAUUUGAAUAUAUAUAUAUAUAGGACCAUUAGUUUAAGAUUUUUCAUACUAUAUUGUCUUGUAUCCAACUAGUUUUUGCUACUUGUUAGGACUACUAGGAUAUAAUAUUAUUGACAAAUUGAAAAGAUUUUGUAUUGAGGAUAUUUUUGGAAUACGUUUAUUUUUCUUACAACAUGUUGAUGGAGUAAGAUUCUAAAAUUAUUUCAAUUUCUAAUCAUAAUGUGAAUGUGAAUGUAAUUUACAUAAUAUGAAUUUCAAAUUCAUAAGGUUGGUUCCAUCACCAUGACUAUGAAUCUGUGUUUUCAAUUAGUGAUCUUGGAUUGUCCCUUUACUUUUUCAUUUUUUAAUGGAUUUAGAGGAAAAUAGUAAAUAUUAAAGGCUUUAAAAAGUGACAAAAAUAUGUUGGGAAGAAUUUAAUGGGGAAUGGUUCUGUGAUGGGCCGAAUUUGGGGCAGAGUUGAGAAAUGGGCUUUGACAUGGAAGUGUGUACGCCGUACCCCACAAGGGGAAGGACGGACGGUAGAAUGAAAAGAAAGGAACGUUUGGCAAUGGGUGGGGUCCAUUUUGGAAGAUUCCUCGUUAUAAUUGGACGAUGGAAAAGGUGUGGAAAAUGAAAUUGAAAAUGAAUGGCCAGGAUUGUCCGUAUCAGGUGAUAGUGCUAAAUUUUGACUAUGACAAUUCUUUUAUUUAUUUGUCGUCUCUUCGAUGAUUGGAAGCUUCCAUUUUUAGAAACAAUAAAUCAAUUAACAUAUUGAAAUCAAUUUUUAUGUAACCUCCUUCGUCUCCUUCACUCUAUUGGUUUUUUCUUUUCUAAUAAUUUUGGCAUAAGGGAAUUGAAUGUGAUAUAAAUAUUGUUUGGUGUGAGAUUUAUAGAAAUGGAGAUCAUAUUCAUACUUUUUGUACACUUCUGUCAUCUAUUUGUAAUACUACAAUAUCAAUACUAUUUAAUUAGUCAAUUAAAAUGACUUCAAUUGAUGGGAUAGGAUUUAAUGUUUUAAGAGUUUCAUUUUGCAUCCAAAUCUAUAAUAAUUAGCCUUGAUAUUACCAUUGAUAUUUGAUCCAGUUUCGCUUCUAGAGUUGAAGAUGGUUGUAAUUGAUGAAUGGAAGGUUUGGGAGAUGAAAAAUAAUCAAGUGUUCCAAAAGAUGGUUACGGCACUUGCGCUACUAUUGCUUCUAUUGAGAAGAGUGCCCAAGAGGAGGAAAAUUCAUGUGUGGGGUUUGUCGAUAAAGAUGUGGGGAAUUAACCAUUUCAAUCAUCCUCUUCUUUCUUCUGUCUCGUUGGUUUAUUCCUCUUUGGUAUUAUGACCAACAAUAAUUUAAUGGACUAGGUUGGAUGUUUUAAGACUAUGUGAGUUGUAAAGUCAAGGUUUUUUAAGGGGUGAUUAUUGUAUGAAGAUUUUAUUUAAUAUUAUCUAUUUGAAUGUACCAACCCAUGAUUAUCGUUGGUUAAUAUGUUAAAAAAAAAAUUAUCCUCUGAAUUUUGUA
rnacentral:lncRNA from 1 species